ACCUGGCUGGCUCAGUUGGUAGAGCAUGCGACUCUUGAUCUCAGGGUUGUAAGGUCAAGUCCUAUGUUGGGUG
rnacentral:tRNA from 1 species